rnacentral:rRNA from 1 species
UCCGUAGGCGGUCUUAUAAGUCAGUGGUGAAAGCCCAUCGCUCAACGAUGGAACUGCCAUUGAUACUGUAGGACUUGAAUGCUUGUGAAGUAACUAGAAUAUGUAGUGUAGCGGUGAAAUGCUUAGAUAUUACAUGGAAUACCAAUUGCGAAGGCAGGUUACUACUUGUGGAUUGACGCUGAUGGACGAAAGCGUGGGGAGCGAACAGGAUUAGAUACCCUUGUA